rnacentral:rRNA from 1 species
AGGACGAACGCUGGCGGCGUGCUUAACACAUGCAAGUCGAACGGAAAGGCCCUUCGGGGUACUCGAGUGGCGAACGGGUGAGUAACACGUGAGCAACCUGCCCCUGGCUCUGGGAUAGCCUCCGGAAACGGGGAUUAAUACCGGACAUGACCUGCUGCCGCAUGGUGGCGGGUGGAAAGUUUUUCGGCCAGGGUGGGCUCGCGGCCUAUCAGCUUGUUGGGGGGGUGACGGCCCACCAAGGCGACGACGGGUAG